rnacentral:lncRNA from 1 species
UGUUCACAGUCCCUAGUGAGAUUGGGUCAGUGAUUGUAGUUUUCUACAGAUAGUUAGUAUUCGAUCAUGAUAAUAUAGGGGUAUAUAGUUGUAGAAUUGUUCCUUCUUUAUUUACUAUCUUUGAGCAUACUUCUGUAGACUUAGUCGGUGAGCCGUUGAGGUCUGUAGCGGUACCCACUGAGGACUACUUCUUUUUGCUGUAGUUCUCACACCCAGUUGUGGAACCCUUUUGUAGAGCCUUCUUCUUCGGCUGCUGCUGUCGCGGAUACAGAUCGUGGAAAUGGAGUCGCAAGUUAGAUCCCUUUCCAGUGCUGCUGCUGAUAUAGAGAUUUACCUGCUACAGGUAGUGUUAGUUUUGGUUCUUAUACAUACUGAUGUUAGAUCCUCGCUGGAGCAAGUGUUUUUGUAUCAGGAUAGUAUGUAUGUAUGUUGAACUGAUAUUAUUUAUAUAUGUUUUUCUAUUUAGCAGCUCUAUACUAUUGAUUGCAGUAUUGUAUGUUUACAGGUACAGACACAGCUAUCGCUUCGUAUACAAAAAAAAUUUCUAUGUAUACAGCGGGUCUGUUAGCAUGCCCGGGAAAACGAGUAAAUCGGGGCGUGACAGAUUAAGUUGGUAGUACAGCUUAGUAUUAGGUCGUUGGGACCUAGGAACUCUAAGUUUGGUAAACCUUAGGAAUGCAAGACUCGAGCGGCGUGAUUUAUCGCGAAUGUCAGCGAUUGAGUAGUUUUAACUCCUUCUAGAGUGUAGUGAGUGAUUGAAGGAGUGUCUGUUUCGGCCAAGAAAAAUUAUGUUUGCUGCAGACGGCAUAAUUUUGAGGUGAAACAGGGGCUGCCUUCUAG